rnacentral:rRNA from 1 species
UUUAUGGAGAGUUUGAUCCUGGCUCAGGACGAACGCUGGCGGCGUGCCUAAUACAUGCAAGUCGAGCGAACAGAAAAGGAGCUUGCUCCUUUGACGUUAGCGGCGGACGGGUGAGUAACACGUGGG